rfam:Myotis brandtii contig253354, whole genome shotgun sequence.
GAAAAGGCUUUUCAUAAAGCCAUAUAUUUAAAAAAAAUUGGUAUAU